CGGCAUUUCAGAAGUACUAUAAAGAGUACAGUCACUCACCAAGAGCUGAAACCUAGGACCCAUCAAGCGCUUUCUAUUUUAAAUGGUUUCAGUUUGGAGCUGAGAGUCCGAAGUGCUGAGGUCAGUAGGAAUGCAGUGACCUUCCAGACAUAACCGAUGACUUCUGGCUCCAGAUCUGUUCACCCGACUACCUUUUUACGAGCACUAAGGUCUAGCUUUUAUGGUGGGAAUAAAGCACUGGAGUCCAAAAGCAAGCAUGGGCAGAGAGCCAUUUAAAGUACCCAUCUGGAAACCUGAAGGAUCAGG